ACACUUACCUGGCAGGGGAGAUACCAUGAUCACGAAGGUGGUUUUCCCAGGGCGGGGCUUACCCAUUGCACUCCGGAUGNACACAUACAGACUAGACAAAGUAUUGAACCUUUUGAAACAUUGCC
rnacentral:snRNA from 11 species